UGGGGAAUAUUGGACAAUGGACCAAAAGUCUGAUCCAGCAAUUCUGUGUGCACGAUGACGUUUUUCGGAAUGUAAAGUGCUUUCAGUUGGGAAGAAAAAAAUGACGGUACCAACAGAAGAAGUGACGGCUAAAUACGUGCCAGCAGCCGCGGUAAUACGUAUGUCACAAGCGUUAUCCGGAUUUAUUGGGCGUAAAGCGCGUCUAGGUGGUUAUGUAAGUCUGAUGUGAAAAUGCAGGGCUCAACUCUGUAUUGCGUUGGAAACUGCAUGACUAGAGUACUGGAGAGGUAAGCGGAACUACAAGUGUAGAGGUGAAAUUCGUAGAUAUUUGUAGGAAUGCCGAUGGGGAAGCCAGCUUACUGGACAGAUACUGACGCUAAAGCGCGAAAGCGUGGGUAGCAAACAGGAUUAGAUACCCUGGUAGUCCACGCCGUAAACGAUGAUUACUAGGUGUUGGGGGUCGAACCUCAGCGCCCAAGCUAACGCGAUAAGUAAUCCGCCUGGGGAGUACGNNUCCAAGUAUG
rnacentral:rRNA from 1 species